GAAAAGUCGUUGAUGUUGGACGU
rnacentral:piRNA from 1 species